rnacentral:tRNA from 1 species
GGGUUUAUGGUGAAAUCGGAUAUCAUCACAGUGUUCUAAACUGUUGUUCGUGGUUCAAAUCCACGUGAACCCA